AGGGGCAUAGUUUAAUGGUAGAACGAAGGUCUCCAAAACCUUUGGUGGGAGUUCGAUUCUCUCUGCCCCUGCCA
rnacentral:tRNA from 1 species